rnacentral:rRNA from 1 species
GACGAACCGAGCGAACGUUGUUCGGAAUCACUGGGCUUAAAGGGCGCGUAGGCGGGCUGUCAAGUCUGGGGUGAAAUCCCGCGGCUCAACCGUGGAACUGCCUUAGAUACUGUCGGCCUCGAGGGAGAUAGGGGCGAGCGGAACUGUGAGUGGAGCGGUGAAAUGCGUUGAUAUUCACAGGAACUCCGGUGGCGAAGGCGGCUCUCUGGAUCUCUUCUGACGCUGAGGCGCGAAAGCUAGGGGAGCAAACGGG